GAACCCAUCACUUAUGGGAUUAACCCUGUACAGCGACAGAUCAAGAAACCAUUUAUGGGGACUCGCCUCAGAGGUUGUCCGACGGGAGGUAGAAACAGGGACAGCCUUUUCAUCCCUCCCCGGUGGCACCGGCCCUGCAGAAGAGGUUUUCAAAGAAAACUCUGUCUUAACACAUGAAGCCAAGACCAUCACAACGUCCCAGACUCCAAGCCUUCCAUCAUGGCUGAGACGUCAGAACAGCUGGACAAAUUUCAGAAAUACUUUUCUGACUCAGCCAAGGACAACUGGGUUAGAACUUCGGAGAAAGGAGGCCAACCACUAUCUUCCAAUUCAACCACCAUUUACUGAUUGCCUCACCCACCCCCCUCCCAUCUUUUCAACCUCCUUCAGGAAAGGACACCUCGAUUUUCUGCAGGACAUCCCCCUCGCUCCACCAGUGGUUUACUUUUUCUGCGUGCAGGCAACUGCACUUCCGGUGCCUGAUGGUCAUGUGACCCAACCCUGGCCAAUCAGAGCCUCACAUGCCCUGGCCGCAGUGAUUGCCAGCCCAGUUCGGAUCACUGAAAAAUCAGAAGAGGACUUUUGUUCCAUCUGUUGACUGACAGUUGGUUCCCUUCUCAGCCGGUCUUGGAGUUGUGAGAGUGGGGGUUGCUAGCAGCCAUUUUUCCACCCACUGGGCAGCAUCUGAUGGAGGGCAGGGAGUUAGCACAAAAGGAAGGUAAACUGAGUGCAUAGAUGAGAUGGAGGCCAGUGCCCUAUUAGCAUCAUUUGAGCUCCUGGAUCAAGCCACACCUGAAUGUCUUCUUUUUCUUUUCUUUAUUUUUUGAGAGAGAGAGACAGA